UCCCAGGUGUCUUGGGACUCCACUACAACCUCAUCACCAAAAUGGUCACCGUCGGCUAGCACAUCCAAGACGAUCUGCUCACCAUACUUGCCAAGACCAAUCUUGUUCACCUUGCCGUGGGCAAUCAGUAAUACGCGAUCGGCAGACUGACCAAUCUCGACGAUGACGUCGCCAGGGGCGAACUCCUGCUGAACAAACUGGUUCGCCAACGCGGUCAACACCUCGGUGUCGUCAAACCCUCGCAGCAAGGGCAACUCACAAAGUUCUUGAGGAAUUACCUGUACUGAAGCUCCGGUGUUGGUGAAAGUGACACGUCCAUCACCCACGGUAUAACUCAAUCGACGGUUGACUCGAUACACACCACCUUUCGUCUGCACCCACGGUAACAACUUCAACAACCACCGGGAUGUAAUCUCCUGCAUCUGCGGUGCAGACUUGGUCGUCGUCGCCAAAUUACGCGCUGCUGCUGUACUCAAGCUCAACUGGGGCUGCUG
rnacentral:antisense_RNA from 1 species